rnacentral:rRNA from 1 species
GGGUUGUGAGGUUAAGCGACUAAGCGUACACGGUGGAUGCCCUGGCAGUCAGAGGCGAUGAAGGACGUGCUAAUCUGCGAUAAGCGUCGGUAAGGUGAUAUGAACCGUUAUAACCGGCGAUUUCCGAAUGGGGAAACCCAGUGUGUUUCGACACACUAUCAUUAACUGAAUCCAUAGGUUAAUGAGGCGAACCGGGGGAACUGAAACAUCUAAGUACCCCGAGGAAAAGAAAUCAACCGAGAUUCCCCCAGUAGCGGCGAGCGAACGGGGAGCAGCCCAGAGUCUGAAUCAGUGUGUGUGUUAGUGGAAGCGUCUGGAAAGGCGCGCGAUACAGGGUGACAGCCCCGUACACAAAAAUGCACAUGCUGUGAGCUCGAUGAGUAGGGCGGGACACGUGGUAUCCUGUCUGAAUAUGGGGGGACCAUCCUCCAAGGCUAAAUACUCCUGACUGACCGAUAGUGAACCAGUACCGUGAGGGAAAGGCGAAAAGAACCCCGGCGAGGGGAGUGAAAAAGAACCUGAAACCGUGUACGUACAAGCAGUGGGAGCACGCUUAGGCGUGUGACUGCGUACCUUUUGUAUAAUGGGUCAGCGACUUAUAUUCUGUAGCAAGGUUAACCGAAUAGGGGAGCCGAAGGGAAACCGAGUCUUAACUGGGCGUUAAGUUGCAGGGUAUAGACCCGAAACCCGGUGAUCUAGCCAUGGGCAGGUUGAAGGUUGGGUAACACUAACUGGAGGACCGAACCGACUAAUGUUGAAAAAUUAGCGGAUGACUUGUGGCUGGGGGUGAAAGGCCAAUCAAACCGGGAGAUAGCUGGUUCUCCCCGAAAGCUAUUUAGGUAGCGCCUCGUGAAUUCAUCUCCGGGGGUAGAGCACUGUUUCGGCAAGGGGGUCAUCCCGACUUACCAACCCGAUGCAAACUGCGAAUACCGGAGAAUGUUAUCACGGGAGACACACGGCGGGUGCUAACGUCCGUCGUGAAGAGGGAAACAACCCAGACCGCCAGCUAAGGUCCCAAAGUCAUGGUUAAGUGGGAAACGAUGUGGGAAGGCCCAGACAGCCAGGAUGUUGGCUUAGAAGCAGCCAUCAUUUAAAGAAAGCGUAAUAGCUCACUGGUCGAGUCGGCCUGCGCGGAAGAUGUAACGGGGCUAAACCAUGCACCGAAGCUGCGGCAGCGACGCUUAUGCGUUGUUGGGUAGGGGAGCGUUCUGUAAGCCUGCGAAGGUGUGCUGUGAGGCAUGCUGGAGGUAUCAGAAGUGCGAAUGCUGACAUAAGUAACGAUAAAGCGGGUGAAAAGCCCGCUCGCCGGAAGACCAAGGGUUCCUGUCCAACGUUAAUCGGGGCAGGGUGAGUCGACCCCUAAGGCGAGGCCGAAAGGCGUAGUCGAUGGGAAACAGGUUAAUAUUCCUGUACUUGGUGUUACUGCGAAGGGGGGACGGAGAAGGCUAUGUUGGCCGGGCGACGGUUGUCCCGGUUUAAGCGUGUAGGCUGGUUUUCCAGGCAAAUCCGGAAAAUCAAGGCUGAGGCGUGAUGACGAGGCACUACGGUGCUGAAGCAACAAAUGCCCUGCUUCCAGGAAAAGCCUCUAAGCAUCAGGUAACAUCAAAUCGUACCCCAAACCGACACAGGUGGUCAGGUAGAGAAUACCAAGGCGCUUGAGAGAACUCGGGUGAAGGAACUAGGCAAAAUGGUGCCGUAACUUCGGGAGAAGGCACGCUGAUAUGUAGGUGAAGUCCCUCGCGGAUGGAGCUGAAAUCAGUCGAAGAUACCAGCUGGCUGCAACUGUUUAUUAAAAACACAGCACUGUGCAAACACGAAAGUGGACGUAUACGGUGUGACGCCUGCCCGGUGCCGGAAGGUUAAUUGAUGGGGUUAGCGCAAGCGAAGCUCUUGAUCGAAGCCCCGGUAAACGGCGGCCGUAACUAUAACGGUCCUAAGGUAGCGAAAUUCCUUGUCGGGUAAGUUCCGACCUGCACGAAUGGCGUAAUGAUGGCCAGGCUGUCUCCACCCGAGACUCAGUGAAAUUGAACUCGCUGUGAAGAUGCAGUGUACCCGCGGCAAGACGGAAAGACCCCGUGAACCUUUACUAUAGCUUGACACUGAACAUUGAGCCUUGAUGUGUAGGAUAGGUGGGAGGCUUUGAAGUGUGGACGCCAGUCUGCAUGGAGCCGACCUUGAAAUACCACCCUUUAAUGUUUGAUGUUCUAACGUUGACCCGUAAUCCGGGUUGCGGACAGUGUCUGGUGGGUAGUUUGACUGGGGCGGUCUCCUCCUAAAGAGUAACGGAGGAGCACGAAGGUUGGCUAAUCCUGGUCGGACAUCAGGAGGUUAGUGCAAUGGCAUAAGCCAGCUUGACUGCGAGCGUGACGGCGCGAGCAGGUGCGAAAGCAGGUCAUAGUGAUCCGGUGGUUCUGAAUGGAAGGGCCAUCGCUCAACGGAUAAAAGGUACUCCGGGGAUAACAGGCUGAUACCGCCCAAGAGUUCAUAUCGACGGCGGUGUUUGGCACCUCGAUGUCGGCUCAUCACAUCCUGGGGCUGAAGUAGGUCCCAAGGGUAUGGCUGUUCGCCAUUUAAAGUGGUACGCGAGCUGGGUUUAGAACGUCGUGAGACAGUUCGGUCCCUAUCUGCCGUGGGCGCUGGAGAACUGAGGGGGGCUGCUCCUAGUACGAGAGGACCGGAGUGGACGCAUCACUGGUGUUCGGGUUGUCAUGCCAAUGGCACUGCCCGGUAGCUAAAUGCGGAAGAGAUAAGUGCUGAAAGCAUCUAAGCACGAAACUUGCCCCGAGAUGAGUUCUCCCUGACUCCUUGAGAGUCCUGAAGGAACGUUGAAGACGACGACGUUGAUAGGCCGGGUGUGUAAGCGCAGCGAUGCGUUGAGCUAACCGGUACUAAUGAACCGUGAGGCUUAACCUUACAACGCCGAAG